rnacentral:lncRNA from 1 species
CUUCUGCGUCCACCCUGCUUCAGAAGGGGCGUGGGCGCCUAGGGUGGUCGCCUCGAAGGCUAGGAGGGUCUCUCCGCUUCGGGCUGAAUUCCUGGGAUCUGGAGUCUGGGCUGGGGUGAGGGUCCCCACACGGGAGGGAGGCGGGAUCCGUCGGGAGAGCAGCUGGGCCAGGGUGGGAGUCCCGGCCCGGUCUGCGACCCUCCGCGUGUCCGUCCGUCUGUCUGUCCUUCGCCCCUCCGUCGCCAAGUCCCUAUCGUUUCUCGGCCUGGGGAGUCCAGGGGGGUCCGGGCAGUGGAACCUGCCAGGUCCCCGGAGACCGGCCCUCGAUCCCUUUGCCGAAUGCGGCGAAUAGAGACCUCGAGGUUCCGGGACGUGCGCGGGGUCAGGCUGCGGGCGACUCUCGCGACCCCACUCUCAGCCCCUAACGGCGCCCGCUGCCCGCCGGGGGGCACCCGGGAGGCUGCAGGUGCCCAUUUCCUGUCGAGGGGCUGCGAGCACGUGUCGACAGGGGAGGGAAGGAGGGGCGUCCGUUCCGCCGAGUCACGGCGGCCGAGUCACGGCGGCUGAGUCACCCGGGGCGUCCCUCCCUUCCUGGCCUGGAGCGGCCCGGGCCCGGGAGUGGGAGAUGCCGCCGGCGGUGCCUCGGACCCGGAACUGGGGUCACUGGGACGCCGGGCCCGCAGCGCUUGGGCUCGGGCUACCGCUGUCGGGACUUGCCUGGGCUUGUGGGCGCUUCCCGGACGAUUGGGCGCCCACACCCAGGGCCCAGCGGCAGAGCUAGAACCCACUUCUCCCAGAACACUGAGCCCCAUCCCAACCCACUCCUCAGAUAGCUGGCUGAUAGAAUGGGAACAGGGACGUUGUGCUGGGCGCUUGCUACAUCAUUUACCAUAUUUCACGGAAUCGAAGACCUCAUCGAUUGAAAAAAAAACCCACUAUAA